rnacentral:rRNA from 1 species
UACGGAGGGGGCUAGCGUUGUUCGGAAUUACUGGGCGUAAAGCGCACGUAGGCGGCUUUGUAAGUUAGAGGUGAAAGCCCAGGGCUUAACCCUGGAAUUGCCUUUAAGACUGCAUCGCUAGAAUCGUGGAGAGGUGAGUGGAAUUCCGAGUGUAGAGGUGAAAUUCGUAGAUAUUAGGAAGAACACCAGUGGCGAAGGCGGCUCACUGGUCCGGUACUGACGCUGAGGUGCGAAAGCGUGGGGAGCAAACAGG